rnacentral:rRNA from 1 species
CCUACGGGAGGCUGCAGUGGGGAAUAUUGCACAAUGGGGGAAACCCUGAUGCAGCGACGCCGCGUGCGUGAGGAAGUAUUUCGGUUUGUAAAGCGCUAUCAGCAGGGACGAAAAUGACGGUACCUGACCGAGAAGCCCCGGCUAACUACGUGCCAGCAGCCGCGGUAAUACGUAGGGGGCAAGCGUUAUCCGGAUUUACUGGGGGUAAAGGGAGCGUAGGCGGGGGGGCAAGUUGGGUGUCAAAACUACGGGCUCAACCGGGAGUCGCACUCAGAACUGCAGCGCUUGAGUGAAGUAGAGGCAGGCGGAAUUCCUAGUGUAGCGGUGAAAUGCGUAGAUAUUAGGAGGAACACCAGUGGCGAAGGCAGCCUGCUGGGCUUUUACUGACGCUGAGGCUCGAAAGUGUGGGGAGCAAACAGGAUUAGAUACCCCUGUAGUC